rnacentral:rRNA from 1 species
AUGAUUGGGGUAGACCGAGUAGAUUGUUUUAAACAUCUUAUUGAGAGAAUACAGAAGUUGGUCAAUGGAUGGAAGGAGAGAACAUUAUCUUAUGGUGGAAAGGAGGCUUUAAUUAAGGCGGUGGCCCAAGCCAUCCCAACUUAUGGGAUUGGGGUAUUCAAAUUCCCAAAGAAAAUUUGCAAGGGGAUCACUGAUACUAUGUCGCAUUAUUGGUGGGGAGAUGGUGAAGAUCAACGCAAAAUGCAUUGGUUCGCGUGGUGGAAAAUGUGUGUUCCAAAUUCAUGGGGAGGCACGUGA